GAUGAACGCUGGCGGCGUGCCUAAUACAUGCAAGUCGAGCGAACAGACGAGGAGCUUGCUCCUCUGACGUUAGCGGCGGACGGGUGAGUAACACGUGGAUAACCUACCUAUAAGACUGGGAUAACUUCGGGAAACCGGAGCUAAUACCGGAUCAUAUAUUGAACCGCAUGGUUCAAUAGUGAAAGACGGUUUUGCUGUCACUUAUAGAUGGAUCCGCGCCGCAUUAGCUAGUUGGAAAGGUAACGGCUUACCAAGGCGACGAUGCGUAGCCGACCUGAGAGGGUGAUCGGCCACACUGGAACUGAGACACGGUCCAGACUCCUACGGGAGGCAGCAGUAGGGAAUCUUCCGCAAUGGGCGAAAGCCUGACGGAGCAACGCCGCGUGAGUGAUGAAGGUCUUCGGAUCGUAAGACUCUGUUAUUAGGGAAGAACAAAUGUGUAAGUAACUAUGCACGUCUUGACGGUAUCUAAUCAGAAAGCCACGGCUAACUACGUG
rnacentral:rRNA from 1 species